CUUCUUCACUUGUUCAAAGAUUAAGUCGGUUUAUAAAUUGGGUUGCACCUUGCCGUCAUGUUGUUGUAGCAACCAUCUCUUUAUUUGGCUUUGCAAGCUCGUAGCAUAUCUUGUUACUUGUGUAACACUUUUAAAGGUUUUAACGCCAUGUCCCUUCAUUGUUUUGAACAUCAUUGUGAUUAAAUGCAAUACCUCCCGAGCGUUAGCAGCUAGAUCGGCUAACCAGGUGUUCCGGUCAGACGGCCGAUGAUAAAUAAGUACUCCUACUACUAAUAAUAAUAAUAAUAAUAAUAACUACUACUACUAAAAUAUAUUACUGAAGCAAUACACAGCACCCGCGCUCCACUCCAACUAUGGCGGUGAUCAGCAGCCUGGUUCCAGCCAGGUUCCUCACCAUCACCUCUCAUCUGGUGAUCGUCAUCACCAUCUUCUGGUCAAGGGACAACAAUGUCAAGGCAGGCUUACCUUUGGAUUUCAGUCAGGAACAAUAUGACAAAGAAGAUGCCAACUUGGUAGUUGGAUUGUCGGUCACCUUGGGCCUGUUUGCGAUAGAGUUGGGAGGCUUUUUCUCCGGGGUGUCCAUGUUCAACUGCAGCCAGGGACUUCUGUCCCUGGCCGUCCACUGCAGUGCAUCCGUCUCCUUGUCAUUCUUUGUCUUUCAACAGUGGGAAUGCCAGACAUAUUGGGUUAUAUUUUCCAUCUGCAGCGUGCUUCCUGCAUUAGUGGAGAUAAUGCUGUGCAUUGCAGUAUUUGGAAUGAAGAAGAAGCCACUAUAACAGUUAUUAAAAAAAUGACUGCAUGGUAUGAUACAGUUGAACAUGAUGCAUCCCAUUAGCCGGCAGGUAUCCCACUGUGUGGAAGAACAUUUAGUUAGCAAUGGGUAGGCAACUACGAUGUUAAAGAUGGAUGAUAUAUUUUUACUAGGGUAUGUAUGUAGUAUGUAUAUGUUGAGAACAAUUUGUGACUUCUUUGUAGUUUUGUGUUUUGUCUUUAAAGCCUAUUUUAUAUAUUUAGGAGUUUAUUUGUAUAAUCUUUUGACAGUAUAAUUUCAAAUCUGGUGUCCCCUGAAAUAAAGUUUUGCAGCUAGGCUCAAUCAAUGAAAUGGUCAUUCUUUUAUUUAGACUAAAGUCUAAAGCAUAGCAGCUAUUAGCUGGCAUUGGUGCCUUUUUAUAAACCCUGCUGAUUUAUAUUUUUUUAAUCUUUAUUUACCAAGGGAGGUGUAGGCUUGUUGAGCAUCAGUGUUUUGCUUCCAGCAGUAUCCUGCUUAAAUGUGUGACUUUUGAGGUGGGGAGGAAUUUUCUGAACAAAUGCAAUUUCUGCACAAGUUGAGUUUGCUCCGGCUGCAGAUUAUGUGGAGAAAUAAUUGAUUGAAGUUUACCUUGCAAAGAAUGCACUUUUUCUUUCAAUAUGUUUAUGCUCCAUAGUGUAUCUUACAGGAUCAAUAGAAAAAAGAACAAAUAUUUAUGGGAAUACAUACAAUGUGAGAUGCUUUACAGGAAAAUUAGUUGCUAAAUAAAUCAUGUACAUCUGUGACUUAUUUUUUUAUUGUGACGUAUAACCUUAUUUGAACGAUCAUAUGAAUGAUCAUAACAAUGUGUAAUGGGUUGUUCUAUAAUUAUGUAAAACAUGUAGAACCCAUCUUUGUUCAUCAGCUCUUAGCCCCGCCCAUAGGUGUCACACGUAGGUCUUUCCGGAAGUCCCUCCCUUCUAGGUUCCUAUUUCUUACAGCCGUAGGAAUACAUUCCUCAACACAUUUAAACACCUUUAAAAUUCUCCAUCUUAAAUCGUCAUUCAUAAUGGCGGCGAACACGGGGACGUCCUUGGUGCUGUCCAGUCUUUUGUCAGUACUGGUGUUUGCUGGCAUGCAGAUGUUCAGUAAGCAGUUGGGUUCC